CACAUGACUCUCGGCAACGGAUAUCUUGGCUCUUGCAUCGAUGAAGAACGUAGCAAAAUGCGAUACCUGGUGUGAAUUGCAGAAUCCCGUGAACCAUCGAGUUUUUGAACGCAAGUUGCGCCCGAUGCCGUCUGGUUGAGGGCACGUCUGCCUGGGCGUCAUAC
rnacentral:rRNA from 1 species